UGAAGGCCUUCGGGUUGUAAACCGCUGUCAGAGGGGAGCAAAUGUAUCGGGGCUAUCCCCAGUAUUUGAGCUAUCCUCAGAGGAAGUCCGGGCUAAGUUCGUGCCAGCAGCCGCGGUAAGACGAACCGGACAAACGUUAUUCGGAAUCACUGGGCUUAAAGAGUGCGUAGGCGGCUCGGAAGGUUGGGUGUGAAAGCCCUCGGCUCAACCGAGGAAUUGCGCUCAAAACCGCCAGACUUGAGGGAGGCAGAGGUGAGCGGAACUGAUGGUGGAGCGGUGAAAUGCGUUGAUAUCAUCAGGAACACCAGUGGCGAAGGCGGCUCACUGGGCCUCUUCUGACGCUGAGGCACGAAAGCUAGGGGAGCGAACGGGAUUAGAUACCCCGGUAGUCCUAGCUGUAAACGAUGAGCACUUGGUCGAGGGGACCUCCACAUCCUCUCGGCCGAAGCGAAAGUGAUAAGUAUCCCACCUGGGGAGUACGUUCGCAAGAAUGAAACUCAAAGGAAUUGACGGGGGCCCGCACAAGCGGUGGAGCAUGUGGUUUAAUUCGAUGAUACGCGAGGAACCUUACCAGGGCUUAAAUGCAUUACKACAGGGGUAGAGAUACCCUUUUCUUCGGACGUUUUGCAAGGUGCUGCAUGGUUGUCGUCAGCUCGUGCCGUGAGGUGUCAGGUUAAAGUCCUAUAACGAGCGCAACCCUUGCCGUCAGUUGCCAGCAAG
rnacentral:rRNA from 1 species